rnacentral:rRNA from 1 species
CUACGUGCCAGCAGCCGCGGUAAUACGUAGGUGGCAAGCGUUGUCCGGAAUUAUUGGGCGUAAAGCGCGCGCAGGCGGAUCAGUCAGUCUGUCUUAAAAGUUCGGGGCUUAACCCCGUGAUGGGAUGGAAACUGCUGAUCUAGAGUAUCGGAGAGGAAAGUGGAAUUCCUAGUGUAGCGGUGAAAUGSGUAGAUAUUAGGAAGAACACCAGUGGCGAAGGCGACUUUCUGGACGAAAACUGACGCUGAGGCGCGAAAGCCAGGGGAGCGAACGGGAUUAGAUACCCCGGUAGUCCUGGCCGUAAACGAUGGGUACUAGGUGUAGGAGGUAUCGACCCCUUCUGUGCCGGAGUUAACGCAAUAAGUACCCCGCCUGGGGAGUACGACCGCAAGGUUGAAACUCAAAGGAAUUGACGGGGGCCCGCACAAGCGGUGGAGUAUGUGGUUUAAUUCGACGCAACGCGAAGAACCUUACCAGGUCUUGACAU